rnacentral:rRNA from 1 species
AGUGAACGCUGGCGGCGGGCCUAACACAUGCAAGUCGAACGGCAGCACAGUAAGAGCUUGCUCUUACGGGUGGCGAGUGGCGGACGGGUGAGGAAUACAUCGGAAUCUACUUUUUCGUGGGGGAUAACGUAGGGAAACUUACGCUAAUACCGCAUACGACCUACGGGUGAAAGCAGGGGAUCUUCGGACCUUGCGCGAUUGAAUGAGCCGAUGUCGGAUUAGCUAGUUGGCGGGGUAAAGGCCCACCAAGGCGACGAUCCGUAGCUGGUCUGAGAGGAUGAUCAGCCACACUGGAACUGAGACACGGUCCAGACUCCUACGGGAGGCAGCAGUGGGGAAUAUUGGACAAUGGGCGCAAGCCUGAUCCAGCCAUACCGCGUGGGUGAAGAAGGCCUUCGGGUUGUAAAGCCCUUUUGUUGGGAAAGAAAAGCAGCAGGUUAAUACCCCGCUGUUCUGACGGUACCCAAAGAAUAAGCACCGGCUAACUUCGUG